rnacentral:rRNA from 1 species
UAGGUAAUGUAUCCUCUGGUGGGGAAUAACCGUGGGAAACCAUGGCUAAUACCGCAUAUCGUGCUUCGGCAUGAAAGCUCCUGAAUGAUAUCGGGGCNCCAGUUGAGCAGCCUGCGUCCCAUUAUUUAGUCCUAGUUGGUGGGGUAAUGGCCUACCAAGGGGUACGAUGGGUAGCUGGUCUGAGAGGGUGAUCAGCACACGUGGAACUGAGAUACCGGUCCAGAUCCCGUAACGGGG